ensembl:lncRNA
CAAGCAGGCAGAAAGGGUUCAUUACCAUUUCCUGAAUCUCAAGAGAAAGCAGGAUUCCAACGCCAUACCUACAGCAACUAGAAAGAAAAAAUUUCUAUCCCUAGACAGAACAUGCCAGUGAUGACUUGAAUAACAAGAGGAGAAAUUCUGUCCUGCAGGCUGCCCAUCUCGUGGAUCAUCUAUAAAGAAAUUUUGUCCUAAAGAAAUCUCAAGAAAAUCAGAACUUCCAGUAAAAAUGACAUCACAUCAACAAAAACAGCGAUUUACUGGCAAUAAACGCUAACCUCCAAGAGUCUACUGCACAGAAGAUUAAGUAAAUGCUAACAUAGCUAAUAUUUUUCUGCAAGAUAUACGAGGGCUGCUCUGAAAGUAAUUCCUCCUAUUUUAUUACAUUGGCUUACGAUGUCAGAGAUGGGUGUUGGUAGUAUGCCAACAGAGACUGAACCUUUCCACCAAUAUUCUCAUACAUUUUGUUGCCAUGCAAGAGAUGGCAGCAGAGAGGCAGUCUGACAAAAUGGCAUCUGACAUGGAAAUGCAUAUGAGGCAAAGUGUUGUUGAAUUCCUUCAUGUGGAAAAAUUGCACCCAUUGACAUUCAUCUAUGCUUUCUGAAUUUUUUUGGAGACCAAGAAGUGGAUGUGAGCACAGUGAGAUGGUGGGUGAUGCGUUUCAGCAGCAAUGACAGUGAUAUGAAAGACAAUUUGUGUUUUGGAUAGUCAUGCACAGUUGUCACACCAUGAAAUGAAGAGAAUCUCAAUCAGCUUAUCCAUUUAAAAAACUGGAUUUUGUCACAGGAAUUGUGUGGAGCUGAAAGUUAGCCUCAAUGUGCUGAAAACUAUGGUGGUAAUCUUGGAGUAUCACAAAGUUUUCUCACAGAAACAGAAAGAACAUCAUAUGCUGGUUUAUCAGGACCUGUUGAACAAAUACAAGGCUGAAGGUGACAGUUUCUUGGAUCAUUAUCGGUUACCAGAUGUGAUGUCACCACUACAUGUUUGAGUCAAAAGAGCAGCCCAUGGAGUGAUGAUGUGAAUUCCCCAUCAAAUAAAACGUUCAAGAUGCAGCCCUCGGUGUGUGGUGAUAUGCACUGUCUUUUGGGAG